UACAGAGGUCUCAAGCGUUGUUCGGAUUCAUUGGGCGUAAAGGGUGUGUAGGUGGCGCGCUAAGUCGGGUGUGAAAUUUCGGAGCUUAACUCCGAAACUGCAUUCGAUACUGGCGUGCUUGAGGACUGGAGAGGAGACCGGAAUUCAUGGUGUAGCAGUGAAAUGCGUAGAGAUCAUGAGGAAGACCAGUGGCGAAGGCGGGGUCUCUGGACAGUUCCUGACACUGAGACACGAAGGCCAGGGGAGCAAACGGG
rnacentral:rRNA from 1 species